CCUACGGGAGGCAGCAGUGGGGGAUAUUGCACAAUGGGGGGAACCCUGAUGCAGCGACGCCGCGUGGGCGAUGGAGUGCUUCGGCAUGUAAAGCACUAUCAGCAGGGAAGAAAAUGACGGUACCAGCCUAAGAAGCCCCGGCUAAAUACGUGCCAGCAGCCGCGGUCAUACGUAGGGGGCAAGCGUUAUCCGGAUUUACUGGGUGUAAAGGGAGCGUAGGCUGCCUGGCAAGCCUGAUGUGAAAUACCGGGGCCCAACCCCGGGGCUGCAUUGGGCACUGCCAGGCUGGAGUGCAGGAGAGGCAGGCGGAAUUCCUAGUGUAGCGGUGAAAUGCGUAGAUAUUAGGAGGAAGACCAGUGGCGAAGGCGGCCGGCUGGACGGUGACUGACGCUGAGGCGCGAAAGCGUGGGGAGCAAACAGGAUUAGAUACCCGUGUAGUC
rnacentral:rRNA from 1 species